GCUGGGUGUGGUGGAGUAUGCCUGUAAUCUCAGCAGCCUCAGAGGCUGAGGCAGGAGGACUGCAGGUUUGAGGCCAGCCUCAGCAUCUUAGUGAGGCUGUAAGCAACCUAGCAAGAUCCUGUCUCAA
rnacentral:sRNA from 1 species